AUUGAGUGUGCGUGUGUGCGAGAGUGUGCGGCUGAAAGUGUCGAAAGGCGAAAUAAAUUAUGCAAAAUAAAAUUAAAAUUCACAAAUAAAAACAAACAAAAAAUGCCAAAAGCGUUGACUUGUUUCUGAUUGCUGCUGUUUAUUGUUUUUCUUGCAAAAAAUAACAUUUGUUCAAUAAAUACAUGCAUACGUACAUAUGUAUGUGUUUACACCUUCCAACUUUCAAACUUCGCAACUGGAUAUUCCAAGCAACAAGAAAAUACUCCAAAAGUACCAAAUGUAACUACAAGCCCAUCCCCAAGCUGCCUAGACUAGAAAGUGAAAAGUGCGCAGAUAGAAAGCAUGAAUUACCGUAUUUUAUGUCUUCGUGAACUUCUUCUUGAACCAACACAUGACAUGAGCAUGUUUUGGUGCCGUUCAAAGCGGCGCAGGCGCAGCCGCAGGCCGAGUGAAGCUUUCAAGGCAACUGGAUGCCACUCGAGGGAUCAUUGAGUAUAAAAUACCGAGUGAUGUGGUAUAAGCAUGUCGUAUGAAUCAUUCCAAUAACAUGGAAUUAAGCUGCCGCGUCAUGUUUCAAUGCGACCCUCAAGCCGCCCCAGUGAUGUUUGUGUGUGUGCGUGUGUGUGUGUGUGUGCGUGUAAGGCGAGCUUGACGUCCACGUCCGUGUGGGACGACAAAUGACUCAUUGAGCGCGCGCUCUGCUCCCCAUGGUCAAUGUCUAAUUCCAAUGAUAAGCACGAUUCGCUCUCAGCUAAACAGCUACUGGAAUGUGCACUCCAACCAGAAUUUAUUUAUGGUUGAGUCAUUGGACAAUUCUUUGGGUUUUAUCAGUAUCAACAAGUGAAAUGCACAUUAAUUUCAUAUUUUUAUUUAGUCGCUGACAAACAAAACAAAAAUACAGCUGGCUGGGCAAUUGUAAUGGACGUGAGUGUUCACAUAUUUAUAGCUAUGAUAACGGCAACAAGGCGCCCCUAGCUGGUGCUGGGCAAGUGUUGCCAUAUCUUUAAAUAAGUAACAUAUUUGAGUUAAGUAUGUGCGUAAGUCUAAGUGAUAUGGAUGUAGUUUGUGUGCGUAAGUGUGUGUAUGUGUGUGUGUGUGUGUGUGCCCGCAUGAGAUAGCUUUCAGUACAAAACCCAGUUCCGUUAUAGAUCAGCGUCAUAUCCGCUGAUUGGAACGCCUGGAAGGCCUCAACUUUCAAUCUUAAGCUCAUGGAUUCUGGUGACAAUUAAUGCUUAAGGCGACGCCUUCACGCAAUGCUGGCCACGAGCAGCGCUUCAUUUUCAUUUUGGGUGUGACCAGUUCCUCCUGUUGCACGCACGUCAAACUUUCUUGUCACGCGCAUCACAGCCCACACCCAUGCACACACACACACAUUCAGGCACACGCAUGGAUUCACGUGCGUUUAAUUUUUUCAAUUUGUAUAAUUGCUGACCAGCGGCAGAGUUGCCAACUUUAUUUGAAUUUGUUGUCUGUUUAAUUGAUGUUGUUCACACGCACACACACACACACACACUCGCGCCCAGAAGCGCACGCCCAGCUGUUGGCGGUGAACCGUAACGGGCCAACCCUGCGAAAAGCUUCAGCAAAGCCGCCGACCCAAAAUUCACCUGGAAUGGGAGCAGCAAUACGAGUGGGCAUGGCAAUGGGAACUAGAUCGUGUUUCCCAUCCCAGAUUGAUAGCCUCGACGCUAAUCAGAUACUUACUAUGCCCAGCGAGGCGCUGCUGAAAAAAUGGCAAACAACAUCAAUAUAAUGGAAAAUCCAGUCAGAAGCCGGCAUCAGGUUCGCUCACAGUCGGAGUCUCGCCGACGCUGAUGCCGCAAAAAGAAAGAAAGAAAGAAAAAAAAAACAAAAUACAUAGCUAAAUGAAAAAGUAAGAGUGCCGCCUGAUGUGUGCCCGACCAGGAGAUGCCCUGUAUGCAGAGCCGAGCGAACUUUAAAAACAACCCUCAACUUCUUGAAUCUCUUCGGUGCUUAUAGUCCGAUCUUUAUGAAAUUUUCAGUGCUUUACUUUGGCUUUUACAUAUGACAAUUAAGCUCUUAAAAUGCGAAAAACAAAUGGAAUCUAGCUUGAAAGUUACAUCCAAGGAUUCUCUGUAAAGUAUACAAGAAACGACAUCAAAAGCCUGCUCCGAAGAAAGUCGCCAGUUACGAGUGCACAAGACAAUCAAGCCCCAUUUCUUUCUUGCCGUGACUACAGGGUAUCAAAAUAGAGAAAUAAAAAGCUUAAGAAAAAGCGCGACUCAGACGGGGUCCGCUGUCUGGAACUCCCACAAUGCGCAUGUAUCACGUACAAUUGCUGUAACACCUUCGGCUGCGGUUGCUUUACCGACCAGAGUUGCCGAGCAAAUAAAUGUCCCCCCCCCCCCCCCCCGCGGAAUACCCAUUACUAUUUGCCGUCUGACGACUGAGUGACUCAAUGAAAUUUUUAGUUCGCCCAGCGAGCAAAUAUUGUGAGAUAAAUUGUCCAAAAAAAAAAAAAGUAUCUAAUUAUAAUGAUAAUAUAUAUAUA